rnacentral:lncRNA from 1 species
GCAAGCUGGUCCUUAGUUCUCGCGAGAAACAGGAAGAACCCGAUGUUUCUCUUGUUCUCUCGCGAAACUUGAAAAGAUGCCGCUGCUUGUCAGAGCUGAGAUUGCUCUGGGAACUUGCCGUGCUCAAGGCACAGGUAUGGAAACGUCUCAGAAGCUUUGGGGAAGGAAGAAUAGAAUUGAACUUUACUGAAUAUGGCGAGAAAAGAGACAAGCACAGUGCCAAGAGAUGCUGGCCUAAUGCUGAGAGCGGGUGAGGAGGAUGGAGGACAAGCCCAGCAGGAUGACACAGCUGGGAGCCCGCCACCUGCUCCAUCUGGGGUAAAGUGCAGCCCAUGGUCACCAGGUAAGCCACACUGGAGAAGGUUGAUUUGGGUCAAAUGUCAUAAUAGGACCCAAAAAUGGAAAUACGAACCUGAAGAGCAUGGUGUUUUAAAACAUCAGCACCACAUCUGGCUAAUGGUGAAACCCUCAGAGCAGAGUCCACGGCGACUCCAAUAUAGGCCCUUGCCCUUCAAAUCACAUCCCAUCAAGCAGUAA